GCUGCAGUGGAGGCAGGACAAUCUCUUCAGAUUCGGUUUGCCGCUCUAAAAGAAAUAAUGCUGCUUUAUGCCAUGGGUUGUGAGGCUAAGCACUGCACAGAGGAUAGCUUGCUGUUGGCAUCCUGUGGAAGGACCAAGAACCAAAAACUCAGAGGUGGCAUCACCAGGAAUAAGUGGGGCCUUCAGCAGCAUCAUCAAUAAAGAAAAUGUCUCACAGGCUGAUAUAAUCAUUUUCUCAACUGAGUGUCUCUCCAAAAAUGUCUCUAGCUUGUGUCAAGUUGACACAAGUAGAAAGAUAUGAGACGUUAGCUAUAUGUCAAAGUAUUUUGCUAGAUGACCCUUCCCAACGGAAUUAUUCACAGGGAAUUAUAUUCGAAAGGAGGCACUUGAAGAAAGGAGUGAAAGUGAGUGCAGAGAAUAAGACCACUGAGCCAAGUUUUGUGUCAUGCUCCUCAAAGAAGCAACACCCUUUACUCACCCUUCAAAGAAAGUAGAUAAAAUACCUAAAGCAUUAAAGAAAGUUUUAUGUCUGAUGAAAAGAAAGCCCCACAACACCACUACAGAGGAUAAGAGAGCAAAUGCAAGAGAUGCCAUGAGGAGGUGGGGCGGGAUUAUGACUGCAGUAUAAUCACAUUGAUAGUUUGGUCUUUAAGGGCAUCUUCUCUCUGUGUGUCAUAACAUCCAUGGGCAUUUUGGACCAUGCUCAUGCUUAUCUGACUUUGGGAGUGAGUUAUGUGUUAUUUUCAUGGUACAGACAAGCUCUCUAGGGAUAUGAAGUACUAAUAGCUACACUGAAUACUGUCAAGUUUCAAUGUCAACAUGGCUUCUAUUGUGUAAAUUUAUCAAAAAAAUGGAUGUUGGAUAUGUUCUCGAUAUUAUAUUCCAUUCCUUUUUUUACAUUUCAUGGAAUCAUUAAGUUGAAAUAUUGAAUGUUAUCUAAUAUAAACUUAUAUUUUAACAUACUAUAGCAGUUAUUUAUUCAAGCUACUUAUUUAUUUGACAUGUCCUAAAAUAGUAGUGAUAAGCUGAUAGACUGUUUACUAAUUAUAUAGCAUGUUGGGUACACCUAUGGUUCAUUGAAUAGUAAGAGACGCCAUAAAGAUUUACAGAAUUUGAAGCACAACUUUACAUAAUGAUAUAUGCAAAUGGAGACACUAACAAGCAGAUGUUUAUAUGUUAGAACAAAAUAGCAUACUAGAUCUUUAGGCAUUUGCUCAUGUGUAGGAAAAACAAUUCAGGUACAUAGGCUUCCAAAAUUUUAUGAGAAUUCGGUGUUUUGAAUAAUAUCAUGGCAAGGAGAGUAAGUCUUUCCUUGAUAUAAGGAAGGUAGGGUUACUUGCACAGUAAUGCAUAUUCAAUAACUCAAAAGUAACAUACCUUAUAAAGGAGUUGUUUGGAUUAGAAAUGUCCUUUAGAAACUGAUGGCAGGAAAAUUUAGAGUGAUCAGUCAGGCUUCUCAAACUAAAUACAGACAGUACAUAUGAAAUAUAUUCUAGCAUUUACAUAUAUCUUAAAUAAUCUACCUAAGCAAUAAUAGUGCCAUUGUCUUAUUAUAUAGAUGGCCUUUAGUUAUCUCCUAAGCAUAUGUUGCAAUACUGGAUGCCCUUUUUGUUGGCAAAUUAAAGGAUUAGAUAUUUUAACAUUUUUGUACAGAAUGCACAAUGCCAGAUACUCACUUUAUCUAGUCUUUAGUAGCAGAAACAAGGGCACAUUACUCAGAAUUAUCUGAAAAAAAUCUGUCCUAGAAAUUUAAAUCUAGCUCUAAUGACAAAAUAGGGCUCAGUAAGACAGAACUUUUUGCAGUGACAACAGAAAAUCAUCUUCCAGAGUCAGAACACCAGGUGUCCAGUGAGCUGCUGACAGUGUUAGCCCUUUAUGAUUCUUCUAAUUUGGUUCUUCUUGUAGCCAUUGAACCUUCAGUUAUAUCUAGUCUGUUCGUUCAGUUAUCCUAGAUUUCUAUAACUCUGUGAAUUAUUAACUGUCUUUCAUAAUUCCCUUUCUACUUGAGUCCACAAGAAUUGAUUUUUAUUGCGCACAAGUAAGAAAUCUGACAGAUAAAACUCCAUUACAAUAUGAAAAAUGGGAUGGUCAGGAAAUUCAAUUAAAUUACCAUGACCAUAUAGCCUGUCAGUGGCUAGCUGUUGAAAGCCGGUGCAAUUAAAACUUUGUUUCAGAAUAUUUUAAUACCAAAGACUGUUUCCUUCACUAUAUUAUGCUGUUAAACAUGACUAAACUAUUCCUAAACAAGAGAAGUUAUGUUCAAAGUAACCUAUUUCUAUUUAUAAAAUGAAGAAAAUAAAGCUUAAUCCUACAUCAUUUAUCCUAUUUCUACCAAGUGCUGUCUCAAAGACUACUACAUGUCAUUUAUACUACUCAGUCAUGUCUUGUGUCACCUCCUUAUGUGAAUCAUGUUUCAGAUGAAACAAUUAAUGUAAUUUGGAGAAACAUAUAGAAGUAACCAGCAAAGGAUACUUGAUUAUUUAUAGGUUAUAAAUACAAUAAUCUAAAAAUGUAAUGUGCUAGAAGCUCAAUCAGCUGGCACAGGAAAACUCAUUGGAAGAUGUUAUAACUUUAUGUACAUUGGUAAAAUUGUCAAACACAUUUUCUAUGUAAGUUGUUUUUGGUGGUCACCAAAUUCUUCUUAUUUCAUUAUCUUUUAGAGUUACUCUGUAAGUAUAUGUAUUGAGUUUUGGCCAAUAAAGAAAGAGCAGGAGUGUUAU
rnacentral:lncRNA from 1 species